rnacentral:rRNA from 1 species
ACAGCUCUGCGGUUGAUCACUCGGCUCGUGCUUCCAUGAAGAACGCAGCUUGCUGCGAGAACUAAUGUGAGUUACUGGAUACUCUGAUCAUCAGACCUUUCAACUCACCUUGCAGGCCUGGGUUUGUCCCGGGGCUACACCUGUCUGAGGGUCG